GAUAGAGUAGAGUCUUAUCUCGAGAAUGUAUAGGAACGGACAACACGCAUGAUAGCAAGGACCCUUAAUAACUAACCAACCCGACCAAAUCACGCACAUCCGCAGCCACCCAGUUUCAUUAACCCACGAGAAGAAACGGAUCUGGACCCUUCCUCGCACCACACGAGAGCCCAACUACCUACAGCAGACGAUAAACCCAUGGCAGACCCACCCUCAUUGCCCACCACUGGGAAGUUUCGUUCGCUUUCGUUUCGUCUCAGAUUAUAGCGCAACGAUGUUUCCGCGGCUAGAAUUACUGCCGUUUUUAUCUUUUUUCACGAAAAUUGGUGACGCUGUUAACUUGAGGACAUUUCCCCAAUGUUGAUAUAAAUAGAGCAGUUUUAUGCCAUUAAC